AAGCUAGCGCGGAUGGGGUGAGUAACGCGUGGGUAACCCUGCCCUUAAGUCUGGGAUACCAUUUGGAAACAGAUGCUAAUACCGGAUAAAAAGCUACUUUCGCAUGAAAGAAGUUUAAAAAGGCGGCGUAAGCUGUCGCUAAAGGAUGGACCUGCGAUGCAUUAGCUAGUUGGUAAGGUAACGGCUUACCAAGGCGAUGAUGCAUAGCCGAGUUGAGAGACUGAUCGGCCACAUUGGGACUGAGACACGGCCCAAACUCCUACGGGAGGCAGCAGUAGGGAAUUUUCCACAAUGGACGCAAGUCUGAUGGAGCAACGCCGCGUGAGUGAAGAAGGUUUUCGGAUCGUAAAGCUCUGUUGUUGGUGAAGAAGGAUAGAGGUAGUAACUGGCCUUUAUUUGACGGUAAUCAACCAGAAAGUCACGGGCUAACUACGUGCCAGCAGCCGCGGUAAAU
rnacentral:rRNA from 1 species